rnacentral:rRNA from 1 species
CUACGGGUUGCUGCAGUGAGGAAUAUUGGUCAAUGGGGGCAACCCUGAACCAGCGACGCCGCGUGUGGGAUGAAGGAGUUUUGCUCUGUAAACCACUGUUAGAUGGGAUGAAAAGUCUGCUCAGCAGACUGGGACCGUACCAUCAGAGAAAGGACCGGCUAACUACGUGCCAGCGGCCGCGGUAAUACGUAGGGUCCAAGCGUUGUCCGGAUUUACUGGGUGUAAAGGGUGCGUAGGCGGACUUGUGCGUCAGGGGUUAAAUCCCACGGCUUAACCGUGGAACUGCCUUUGAUACGGCAAGUCUUGAAUGUGAGAGAGGAUGGUAGAAUUCCUGGUGUAGCGGUGAAAUGCGUAGAUAUCAGGAGGAAUACCGGUGGCGAAGGCGGCCAUCUGGCUCACUAUUGACGCUGAGGCACGAAAGCGUGGGGAGCGAACAGGAUUAGAUACCCCGGUAGUC